CGUCCAACAGGGGAGACCCGCCUCCUUUCCCGGACACCCCCCGCUCAGCGCCCUAGCGUGCGCGCGCGUCCCCGCUUGUCGCCGGGCUCCGCGUCGAGAGCGCGCUCUGUGCGGCUGCGGCCGCCAGGUUGUUGUGGUUGUGAGAAGGCGGCGGCGGCGGCGGCGGCUGCGGAGUAGCUGCGGGAUGAGACGCCCCAGCGGCUCAGGUGCUGCUCCGCGCCGGCUCUGGCAGGGAGCCUGGUGGGGUGGCGGAGGAGGAGGCCGUGCCGUGGCGGACCUCGCCGUGUCGCGCUGCCCGACGGAGUCUUGCUCUGUCACCCAGGCUGGAGUGCAGUGUGGCAAGAUCUCGGCUCACUGCAACCUCCGCCUCCCUGGUUCAAGCGAUUCUUCUGCCACAGCCUCCCAAGUACCUGGGACUACAGGCCGAAGUGCAGGGGCACAGUCUUGCCUCACUGCAACCUCUGCCUCCCAGGUGCAAGUGAUUCUCAAGCCUCAGCCUCCCAAAUGGCUGGGAUUACAGGUAUGAGCCACUGCACCUGCCUUCAUUUAUUUUAAUAGCUGUGUAGUAGUCAGUCAUAUGAAUGAACAGGACACAAUUAUAGUCUUU